rnacentral:rRNA from 1 species
UACGAAGGGUGCGAGCGUUAAUCGGAAUUACUGGGCGUAAAGCGCGUGUAGGCGGUUGGUUAAGUCAGAUGUGAAAGCCCCGGGCUCAACCUGGGAACGGCAUUUGAUACUGGCUGACUAGAAUGUGGUAGAGGGAGGCGGAAUUCCCGGUGUAGCGGUGAAAUGCGUAGAGAUCGGGAAGAACAUCGGUGGCGAAAGCGCUCUACUGGACCGCAACUGACACUCAGGGACGAAAGCUAGGGGAGCGAAUGGG